UGGGGCAAAGGAGAAACAGGUGACCCA
rnacentral:piRNA from 1 species